rnacentral:rRNA from 1 species
AUUGAACGCUGGCGGAAUGCUUUACACAUGCAAGUCGAACGGCAGCACGGACUUCGGUCUGGUGGCGAGUGGCGAACGGGUGAGUAAUGUAUCGGAACGUGCCCAGUCGUGGGGGAUAACGUAGUGAAAAUUACGCUAAUACCGCAUACGAUCUAUGGAUGAAAGCGGGGGAUCGCAAGACCUCGCGCGAUUGGAGCGGCCGAUAUCAGAUUAGGUAGUUGGUGGGGUAAAGGCCCACCAAGCCAACGAUCUGUAGCUGGUCUGAGAGGACGACCAGCCACACUGGAACUGAGACACGGUCCAGACUCCUACGGGAGGCAGCAGUGGGGAAUUUUGGACAAUGGGCGAAAGCCUGAUUCAGCCAUUCCGCGUGCAGGAUGAAGGCCCUCGGGUUGUAAACUGCUUUUGUACAGAACGAAAAGGUUUCUACUAAUACUAGGAGCUCAUGACGGUACUGUAAGAAUAAGCACCGGCUAACUCUGUGCCAGCCGCCGCGGUAA